rnacentral:lncRNA from 1 species
UUGCUUAAUUCUGAUGCAGUUUUUGAAAACUUCACAAGCACUGAAAAUCCUAGAAUAUGAUAUAUUUUAGGAGGUUUAUGAAAGGAUGGAACGGACCCUGAAAAGCACUCUUGAAUACAGGUAAAGAAAGCAUUUCAUGGUUCACUUAUUGAGGACCAUCAACCACUUCAUAAUUUAGAACCUGAAGAUCGGAUCUUCUGAGAACCUCAGAGAAAGACUGCCCUUGUCAUCCACACUGCAGCAAAACUUCAGGACCUUGAACCUUGGGCUAAUAAUUUCACAACUGAGACGGCUUCAUCUACACCCUUGGAACUAUACCCAUUAGAACCCUUAAGGUAAAGCUAACCAAGGAAGUUUCUACCCAGAAGAAGAUUGCAUCCUUGAUAUGAACAGCUUUUUCCCAAGAUCAUGCAUCAAGACUUCUCUACUAUCAUGAGACUCUUACUUUGAAUAUUUUUCCCUUGCUUAUG